CUAUAUAUAUAUAUAUAUUUAGGGUAAGGUUCAUGAGUGAACAAUGGUGUAUUUGUGAACAAAAAUGAACAAAUCUUGUCCAUUGAUUAUACAAGAUGAUGAGAUUUUGUAUUAAUGGCAUUUUUGUAAUUCUUUUAUGUUACUUGGUUUUUAAUUAAAUGAUAUGAGGGCUAAUUAGUAAUUUCCAUUGCAAAUAUCAGUUACUAGGAUAUCAAAUCACAAAUCAAAAUAAAAACCUAAUCUUGUUCUCUCUCUACACCAAUUUCUUUCACAGCCCCCUUCAAGUGAUGACGAUUACGUCUUCCCUAUACCGUAUUUCACAGUGAUUACAUCUUUAAGAUACAUAUCAAACGGCGAUUCAAAAUUCCAGCGACUAAUUGAAGGGAAGUUCAGCAAUUCGAAAGAGUGGAGUUUGAAGGGGCAAAUUCAUAGAUGUUGGAUAGUGAUUGGGCGACCACUAACAACGGUGUUGACUGUGGUGUGUUCGCCAUACGACAUAUGGAAAUGGAUGGGAGUAGAUAAUAUGCUCGCACUUUUAUUUAGUUUGAUUUAAUUUAAAAAAAUUGGACUCCACGGUCAUAGAUAAUAUGCAUCCUUGUGAGAGUCCGAUAAAAGUUUUUUACGGUAACGAUUUUUUUCUUGAAGUCAACUCCAAUGAAAGUGAAAAUGUUGUAAAAGCAUGUUGGUUAUCCCCGUUGCUAUGAGAUUGAAGAUGUCCAGCCUGUUCGUUUAAAGAUUAGUUGGGCGACUAUAGGAAACUAUGAAGACUGCGGUGUAUAUGUGAUGCGUCACAUGGAAACAUGGAUAGGGAUCGUUGAAGGGCGUUGGGACGCUGGGUUUCCAACUGAAAUCUCAAAAGAGAAAAACAAAAUAGCACAACUUAGGUAGAAGUUUGUUGUGAAACUGAUAAUAUCGCAUGCGAACAUACCUCACGAACGAAUUACGAAUGAAGCUAAUCAGUUUGCCGGUAUCAAUAAAAAGAAAUAGAUGUGAAGUUGCUAGUGGUUUAUUUUGUGUAGUGUUUGGUCUGGUGUUUCAAUACUGGUUAUGGUUUAUUUUACUUGUUUUGGUGAAACUAGUAGUUAUGGUUUAUUUUGAUUAUGUUGGUGGACGUCGUUUUGAAUGAGUUAUAUGAUAAUAUUUUAA